rnacentral:rRNA from 1 species
GAGGUAGUGACAAUAAAUCACAAUACGGAACUUUUAGUUUUGCAAUUGGAUUGAGAACAAUGUACAAAUGUUAUCGAUAAACAAUUGGAGGGCAAGUCUGGUGCCAGCAGCCGCGGUAAUUCCAGCUCCAAUAGCGUAUAUUAACGUUGUUGCAGUUAAAAAGCUCGUAGUUGAAAUGUGGGAUGAAGUAUAUAAUGAAUUUCUAAUUCAAUUCUAUAUUGAUUCCCCUCUCCAAUUUAUUAUUAUGGGUAUUAAUUUAUGUGUGAUAAGAAUUGGUCAUUUACUGUGAGAAAAUUAGAGUGUUCAAAGCAGGCAUUUGCUUGAAUAGAUUAGCAUGGAAUAAUACUAAAAGGCUUUUAUGGUCGAUUUAAUUGGUUUGUUCAUAAAAGCAAGAUUAAAAGGAACAGUUGGGGGUAUUCAUAUUCAAUAGUUAGAGGUGAAAUUCUCGGAUUUAUGGAAGAUGAACAAGUGCGAAAGCA